rnacentral:lncRNA from 1 species
GAUUGUUAUGUAGUAUAAUCAGGAGCACAUAACUUCAAAAGAGAUGUACAUGCAAUUCGUUCUGUUAUGCUAAUCAUUCAUUUCUCAAUUUAAAAACUUUUAUAUGCCAUAGUGAAAAUGUCCAUCAUUUACGUAUUGACUUCUCUAUUAUCUUUGAUAAAGAAUGAAAUACAUUAGGAACAUGACUUCACUUGUAAAAUUUUAUCAACAAAGAUGUAGUCCCCAAAAUCAUCAAAUCCAUUGGUUGUUGCACUAUCUAUUAAGGCUUGAACUGACCCUGAAGGCUUUUCUGUGUUCAGACCAUUCUUAUGAUUUCAUUAGUGUAUGAAUUCUCUGAUGUACAGUGAGUUGGGACUUCUGGAUGAAGGCCUUCCCACAUACAGUACAUCGAUCAGGUUUCUCUCCAGUAUGAAUUAUCUGAUGUACAACAAGGUCUGACUUCUGAGAAAAGGCCUUUCCACAUUCAGCACAUAUGUAAGGUUUCUCUCCUGUAUGAAUUCACCAAUGCCCUGGGAGGUGAGACUUCUGAGAGAAGGCUUUCCCACAUUCAGAACAUACAUAAGGUUGUUCUCCCGUGUGAAUUCUCUGAUGUCCAAUGAGAUGUGACUGCUGACAGAAGGAUUUUCCACAUUUGGUACAUUUAUAGGGUUUCUCUCCAGUGUGGGUUCUCUGAUGUAUGAUGAGUUGUGACUUGCGAGAGAAUGUUUUCCCACAUUCUGUACAUUCAUACGGUUUCUCCCCAGUAUGAAUUAUCUGAUGUAUAAUGAGUUCUGACUUCCUGCUGAAGGCUUCCUCACAUUGAGCACAUUUGUAGGGUUUCUCACCAGUGUGAACUCUUUAAUGUAUAAAACAGAAUGCUU